rnacentral:rRNA from 1 species
UACGUAGGGUGCAGGCGUUAAUCGGAAUUACUGGGCGUAAAGCGUGCGCAGGCGGUCUUUUAAGUCAGAUGUGAAAUCCCCGGGCUUAACCUGGGAACUGCGUUUGAAACUGGAAGGCUAGAGUGUGGCAGAGGGGGGUGGAAUUCCACGUGUAGCGGUGAAAUGCGUAGAGAUCGGGAGGAAGGCCGGUGGCGAAGGCGGCGCUCUGGAACGUAUCUGACGCUGAGACACGAAAGCGUGGGGAGCAAACAGG